GCUUGCACCGGGGAUUAGUGGCGAACGGGUGAGUAACACGUGAGUAACCUGCCCUUGACUCUGGGAUAAGCCUGGGAAACCGGGUCUAAUACCGGAUACGACCUGUCACCGCAUGGUGGUGGGUGGAAAGAUUUUUUGGUUUUGGAUGGACUCGCGGCCUAUCAGCUUGUUGGUGAGGUAAUGGCUCACCAAGGCGACGACGGGUAGCCGGCCUGAGAGGGUGACCGGCCACACUGGGACUGAGACACGGCCCAGACUCCUACGGGAGGCAGCAGUGGGGAAUAUUGCACAAUGGGCGAAAGCCUGAUGCAGCGACGCCGCGUGAGGGAUGACGGCCUUCGGGUUGUAAACCUCUUUCAGCAGGGAAGAAGCGAAAGUGACGGUACCUGCAGAAGAAGCGCCGGCUAACUACGUGCCAGCAGCCGCGGUAAUACGUAGGGCGCAAGCGUUGUCCGGAAUUAUUGGGCGUAAAGAGCUCGUAGGCGGUUUGUCGCGUCUGCUGUGAAAGCCCGGGGCUCAACCCCGGGUCUGCAGUGGGUACGGGCAGACUAGAGUGCAGUAGGGGAGACUGGAAUUCCUGGUGUAGCGGUGAAAUGCGCAGAUAUCAGGAGGAACACCGAUGGCGAACGCAGGUCUCUGGGCUGUAACUGACGCUGAGGAGCGAAAGCAUGGGGGAGCGAACAGGAUUAGAUACCCUGGUAGUCCAUGCCGUAAACGUUGGGCACUAGGUGUGGGGGACAUUCCACGUUUUUCCGCGCCGUAGCUAACGCAUUUAAGUGCCCCGCCUGGGGAGUACGGCCGCAAGGCUUAAAACUCAAAGGAAUUGACGGGGGCCCGCACAAGCGGCGGAGCAUGCGGAUUAAUUCGAUGCAACGCGAAGAACCUUACCAAGGCUUGACAUGGACCGGACCGCCGCAGAAAUGCGGUUUCCCUUCGGGGCUGGUUUACAGGUGGUGCAUGGUUGUCGUCAGCUCGUGUCGUGAGAUGUUGGGUUAAGUCCCGCAACGAGCGCAACCCUCGUUCUAUGUUGCCAGCGCGUUAUGGCGGGGACUCAUAGGAGACUGCCGGGGUCAACUCGGAGGAAGGUGGGGACGACGUCAAAUCAUCAUGCCCCUUAUGUCUUGGGCUUCACGCAUGCUACAAUGGCCGGUACAAAGGGUUGCGAUACUGUGAGGUGGAGCUAAUCCCAAAAAGCCGGUCUCAGUUCGGAUUGAGGUCUGCAACUCGACCUCAUGAAGUCGGAGUCGCUAGUAAUCGCAGAUCAGCAACGCUGCGGUGAAUACGUUCCCGGGCCUUGUACACACCGCCCGUCAAGUCACGAAAGUUGGUAACACCCGAAGCCGG
rnacentral:rRNA from 1 species